CGCACAUUGCGCCCUUUGGUAUUCCGAGGGGCAUGCCCGUUCGAGCGUCAUUACACCACUCAAGCCUGGCUUGGUAUUGGGCGGCGGGACACCCCCGCGCCCCCAUUUCUGAUCGGCUGGACGGUUUGAAUCUCAGCGUUGUGGUUAAUCAGUUCGCUGUGGGGAUCACCGGACGCGCCGUUAAAUUUUACUCAAGGUUGACCUCGGAUCGGGUAGGGAUACCCGCUGAACUUAA
rnacentral:misc_RNA from 1 species